GGGUUGUGAGGUUAAGCGACUAAGCGUACACGGUGGAUGCCCUGGCAGUCAGAGGCGAUGAAGGACGUGCUAAUCUGCGAUAAGCGCCGGUAAGGUGAUAUGAACCGUUAUAACCGGCGAUUUCCGAAUGGGGAAACCCAGUGUGAUUCGUCACACUAUCAUUAACUGAAUCCAUAGGUUAAUGAGGCGAACCGGGGGAACUGAAACAUCUAAGUACCCCGAGGAAAAGAAAUCAACCGAGAUUCCCCCAGUAGCGGCGAGCGAACGGGGAGGAGCCCAGAGCCUGAAUCAGCAUGUGUGUUAGUGGAAGCGUCUGGAAAGGCGCGCGAUACAGGGUGACAGCCCCGUACACAAAAGCGCAUGUGCUGUGAGCUCGAUGAGUAGGGCGGGACACGUGGUAUCCUGUCUGAAUAUGGGGGGACCAUCCUCCAAGGCUAAAUACUCCUGACUGACCGAUAGUGAACCAGUACCGUGAGGGAAAGGCGAAAAGAACCCCGGCGAGGGGAGUGAAAAAGAACCUGAAACCGUGUACGUACAAGCAGUGGGA
rnacentral:rRNA from 2 species